UACGUAGGGGGCUAGCGUUGUCCGGAAUCAUUGGGCGUAAAGCGCGUGUAGGCGGUUUGGUAAGUCAGGUGUGAAAUCUCCACGCUCAACGUGGAGGGGCCACCUGAUACUGCCAUGACUGGAGUCCGGUAGAGGAGUGUGGAAUUCCCGGUGUAGCGGUGAAAUGCGUAGAUAUCAGGAGGAACACCGGUGGCGAAGGCGGCUAUCUGGACAGAAACUGACGCUGAGGCGCGAAAGCUAGGGGAGCAAACGGG
rnacentral:rRNA from 1 species